AAUAUUUAGCUAUCUUCAUCAAUUUAAAAUUGCAGAAAUAUUAACUAAUUCCUAAAGUCAUUGUCUUUUAAAUUUCGGUGAGUUACAUGAAUUAUACGUUAUCUUGAUGAUUACUUCUGCAACUUGGUUUGGUUCUUGAUUUCGCAAUCAACUUUUUUCCAACUUUGUAAUAAUGAUGUUUUGUUGCCUUUUACGACUUCCUCGCAUUUAUAGAAGAAAUAUUUGAAAUAGAUAAAAACAGCAAAACCCAAACGAUCUCUACGUCAGAUUACUGUCUAUCAAGGCAAAUAUUACUUGACAAAUUAACGAAUUUCCACUAAAUAACCAGACUGAAGCAAAAAGAAGUAAGUUUCACUUAUCAUUUUGAAGCAAAAGAAAGUUUGGUGCAGCCUCGUAAUUAAUUGUCUGCCAGUUAGCAACUUGAUAAAAGUGAGUGUGUAGCUUUCAGAAAAGUCACCUAACACUUCCCUUUUGCUUAAUUCCUAAAUCCUUCAAUCAAUUUCUAAAAAACUACAGUCUAGGGCUGCGAAAUAAGCAUAAUUGUGUAGUAAUAAAAGGUAAAAUUUAGAACAAUUAGUCAGCACAAACAAAAGAAUACGAGGGAAAAGGAUAACACGUUCAUGCACUAUACAAAGUCAUCAUUUAUUAUAUUUAAAUUAAUGUGAAGUAGUUCAACUAAAAUUAG
rnacentral:lncRNA from 1 species